rnacentral:lncRNA from 1 species
ACAACUUCAACAACCUCCAUAUAACUGAUAACUGAUUCUUCACCAGGGGGGGCUUUUUCUUCCAUCUCCAUCACAACCCCAAAACUCACCCUAACAACUUCACCCUUCUCUUCACACGGCUUCACCCUCAACCAAGCUCCAAUUCGAUUCUCCAUCACCUUCAACCGAUUUCUCAGCCUUCAAUCCUCAACCGCUUCCAAUAGUUGAAACCUCAUCGUGACAUAACCGUUUCUUCAACCUAGAUUCUCUUCAUGGCAAGAACCUGCAAACGAAGGUUGAAAUUCCGUCUCAAAUGGAAGCCAAGAUGUAACGGAAACGGAAGCGCGCAUAUGAAGGG